UUCCUCUGCCCGCCCGGUUCCCUCCCCCGGGGAUAUCUCGCCACCAGCAGGCUCACCCGAGAGGAGAGGCGCAUCGCCGCAGCCUUUAAGAAUCCCUGAAAGUUCCAGCUCCUAUGCUUGCGGCCAUCUGAACUCAGAUUGGAAUAUGCAGAGUACAGACAGAACAAACAGGGAGAGAUGGCUUAUUCCUGCCUCAACUGGGAAGAUCUUUCAGCCUGUCCUACUGUGUUGAUGCCAGACUGCUCCUGAGAGUCUGAUAGCCUGGACACCAUCAGUCUCAUGCUAGAGAGGUGUUAAAGCAAGGGUGAGGAACCUUUUGUUGGACCACAAUUCCCAUCAUUCUUGAUCAUUGGCCAUGCUGGCUGGAGUUGGUGAGAAUCAGAAACAGCAUCUCGAGGGCCACAGAUUCUCCAUCCCUUUGUUAAAGUUAAAAGUCAGAUUAUGAGUAGCAUUGCAUACAUAAACACCCUCUCUGUGACAGUUUGUAACAAAGCUCUAAGGCCACUCAGAAGAUUUGUACCAACAAAUUUUGAAAGCCCAUAGUAAUAUCAUAGGUAAUACUUGGAUGGCAUGUAGUCUGACUGUAUAUGUGUACACUCAGAAGUAGAAAUGUG